rnacentral:rRNA from 1 species
GAUGAACGCUGGCGGCGUGCUUAACACAUGCAAGUCGAACGGAAAGGCCACAGCUUGCUGUGGUACUCGAGUGGCGAACGGGUGAGUAACACGUGGGUGAUCUGCCCUGUACUUCGGGAUAAGCUUGGGAAACUGGGUCUAAUACCGGAUAGGAAUCACAUGUGGGUGUGUGGUUGGAAAGCUUUUGCGGUAUGGGAUGAGCUCGCGGCCUAUCAGCUUGUUGGUGGGGUAAUGGCCUACCAAGGCGUCGACGGGUAGCCGGCCUGAGAGGGUGUACGGCCACAUUGGGACUGAGAUACGGCCCAGACUCCUACGGGAGGCAGCAGUGGGGAAUAUUGCACAAUGGGCGCAAGCCUGGUGCAGCGACGCCGCGUGGGGGAUGACGGCCUUCGGGUUGUAAACUCCUUUCGUCAGGGACGAAGCGAAAGUGACGGUACCUGGAUAAGAAGCACCGGCUAACUACGUG